rnacentral:misc_RNA from 1 species
GAUGAAGAACGUAGCGAAAUGCGAUAAGUAAUGUGAAUUGCAGAAUUCAGUGAAUCAUCGAAUCUUUGAACGCACCUUGCGCUCUUUGGUAUUCCGAAGAGCAUGCCUGUUUGAGUGUCAUGAAAAUAUCAACCUUGACUUGGGUUUUGUGCUCUAGUCUCGGCUUGGAAUUGGGUGCUUGCCGCUUUUACGAGCGGCUCACCUUAAAUGUAUUAGCUGGAUCUGUCUUUGAGACUUGGUUUGACUUGGCGUAGUAAGUAUUUCGCUAAGGACAUUCUUCGGAGUGGCCUCGUUUCUAGGACGCUUGUCCGCUUUCCAAUACAAGUUCCACCUCGUGGACAUGACUUUUUAUUAUCUGGCCUCAAAUCAGGUAGGACUACCCGCUGAACUUAAGCAUAUCAAUAAGCGGAGGA